rnacentral:tRNA from 1 species
GGAGGGAUCGCAUAGUGGCCUAGUGCAACAGUUUACUAAACUGUCGUUUCACAAGAAACCGAGGGUUCGAAUCCCUCUCCCUCCGCCA